AGAACGGACCUCCGGAACGAAUUAAGUACUUAACCCGAGGUACCACUGUAUAAUAUUUGUGGGGAUUAUCCCUAUCAGCCCCUUCAUUUUAUAUACAGUGGUACCUUGGGUUAAGUACUUAAUUCAUUCCACUC